rnacentral:rRNA from 1 species
UACGUAGGUGGCAAGCGUUGUCCGGAAUUACUGGGUGUAAAGCGCGUGUAGGCGGCAGACCAAGUCGGCGGUGAAAGCGCCCGGCUCAACUGGGCGAGGUCCGUGGAAACUGGUCAGCUGGAGGACGGUAGAGGCGAGUGGAAUUCCCGGUGUAGUGGUGAAAUGCGUAGAGAUCGGGAGGAACACCUGUGGCGAAGGCGGCUCGCUGGGACGGUACUGACGCUGAGACGCGAAAGCGUGGGGAGCGAACAGG